GUCAGUAAAUGUAAAUAAAAAUUGACUAGGAAGUCAUUUAAUCAAAAGGCAGCUCACAAAGAAGACUACAUAUAUGUAUAUAUGUAUAUAUGUAAGAAGAAAGUGUGACAGAGUAAUGACCAUGGAGGUGAGGGAUAAGAUGAAAUGAGCAGAAGCAGGCAGAAUACAUAGAUAAGCGAACGGAACAUCAAUCUCUUUAUAACCUCUUCUGUCUAUACUUCAAGAAUGGAUAUCCUGCAAGUCGGCUUCGUAGAGUCUCCCUUGAAAGUGGACCUCAUGAUCUAGCCUUUAUGUCCGUGGAUUGACACUGUGAUGGAUUCCCCCCAAGUUCAUUUAGAUAUUCUCUCUUAUUCAUAAAUGUCACGGUCAGCUCUGUUCUUAUAGAUACCAGAAUGGAUACCCCUAAGCUGAUGUAUAUACACCCUUCCUCGGUUGUGAGAUUCCUGCUCUGGUGGUUGUAGUCAUAAGAUAUACAUCGUUGCGUACACCUUGGUUGUGGGCACGCACACUACUGUUGAAUUACCACCUUGUCCAAGUGGAUGGAUGCCCUCAAUGGGAUUGGCACUUUCUCCAUUGCUCCUGCACUCUGUUAUCAGCACUUCGGGUUCAUAAUGUACACACAGCAAUGGAUUUUCUGCAGCUGAUUUUCUAUAUUCUGUUUUCUUCGGGUAAGCAGAAACAGAUGCCUUCCUCACUGGUCACCAGGUUCAAGGUCCCUCAUAUGUGUCAGGUGCAUAGUCACCAACGUAAGUCGAAGUUCUUGGUUUGAAUUCUUUCUUCUGUUUUUAUAAAGGCAUUUCCUAGAAUUUAAAGACCAUUGGUCUAGGGAGAAGUAUGCUGUGGCCAUGAAAUGCUUGGUUGACUAAUUAAUAUUAUUGAAAUUAAGUUUAAUUUAAGCAGACAUAAUAACCUUAGGCAAAGGAGCUAAAAUAUUUAUGUAAAUUAUAAUUAAAGAUGUUUUUCAUGAUUAAUAAUAAUCAGCUAAUAAACAAUAAUAAUGAAAGUUUAUCGGAGAAACCAGAGGCGGAGGUUGGAUCAGUGGUGACAUCUUGUUGGAGGUGAGCAGUGGAGCAGGAGAACAGGUCCGGAAGUCUGAGUCCCAUCCCUUACAGGCAUCUCCUGUGCUUUCCUCCGAGGUGUGCUCAAACAAGCAUGUUACCUUUCCGAUUGUGAAAGUGUGAAAAUUAUGUAAUGUGUACAUUAGAACAAAGCCGGUCAGCAGUGUUGAGCAUGAGACUCUUGCCAACUGAGACACAGUAAUAAUCCAGGAAACCAUGUGCAUUUAGAAAUAAAUAAGUACAAAUUACAAUAAAAGUUAAGCAAACAAUAACAAGAGAAAUGAAUUUCUUAAUGAUACUACUAGCUAAGGACAAUGCAUUUACCAAAAAUAAUGGCAAGUCCUUGUCUUGUUCAGGGCUUAAGCAUUUAUUAUUGCCUUGUCAAGUCAACAAACCUAAGAGAAUUUUGCUCCUGCCCAUGU
rnacentral:lncRNA from 1 species